GGCGAGCUGUCUGGAAGUUUCCACCCCUACCUGCUGAGCAACUACUAAAAAUGCUCCAGCUGUUUCUAUUUUGAUAGAAAGCGGCUAUGCUGCAAAGCCGAAGCUCCAAAUUUGGGGUACCAAAUAUAGUCCCAUAAUAUGCAAAAGACAGACAGAAGAGUGGCAUUGCACAACUGCUUCUGACAGAACCACCUCUACAAAAGAUCCUGCUAUAUGAACCAUAUUUGUCUUUAAGAUGCAAAACUAUUUGUUGAUCCUGCUACAAUAGACUAAAUCAAUGUCAGAAGUCCCCAGUUUUUAAAACAGGACCAAUAGACUUUAAACUCGCUAAGCUUGGGCCAGUUUGUUAUUUGUUUUGUUCCCUGACUUAGUGCGUGUUGAGUCUACCAAACUCUUUGGCUGGUUUAUUGAUUGGUUGUAUUGUGGACAGAAAAAUGAGAUAGUUCAGUACUAAAUUCAUAGUGUUGUACAGACCACCAUAGAAUUUGGUAUUAGAUAGCCAGCUGGGUGACCUUGGGCCAGUUCUUCAUUCUCAGACCUUGGAGAAGAAAGCAAAGCACUUUUGAAAAACCUUGCCAAGAAAACUGCUGUUGCCUCUAGUCAAGGCUGACUUCAAAAACACACAGACACAAAAACAAAAACUUUUCAAGGCUCAUAGACCCGGAAGCCAUUACAUUAAUUUAAAUGGAUUUGCACUGUAUUUUGCUCAGCUAUGAUGAUCUAUGUUUCUGCUUAUAUAGUUGAUAGGCUAAUAUAAAGCCCUGUUUUCCAUAAUUUCAACAAUGUUGUUAUGGUCAACCCAAGGCUGCAAUCUCCACUGAAGUCCCAAAGAAGUCCCAUAAAUGUCUUAAAAUCAGCAAUAACAGCAGCCCCAUUCUCUCCCCCUCUUUUUUCUUCCACUUUCUAGAGGCCUCUUGGAAAAACUAAAUUUUAAGGGGCAGAUGUGGGCCAUUCAGCAUUUUCUGAGUGCAGGAAAAGACGAUGUUGUCCACCAUCACCUCCUAGGCCAUUUCCAGAGUGUUUUCCACCUGCAAUCCAAAACUUAUUUUCUGACCCAAGAGGGGGUCUCCAGUGCUUUGAUUCAUUCUACCAGCAGCCCAAACUCUGAUUGGCUGCAGUGCCUGGCAUUUCCCCCUCCCCUUGGUCACUGCCCUGCACAGCUGUUUCAACCUGGGCUUGUGGGCUGCUCAGUUUAUUGCUGGUUGACAGUUGUGGAUUUUUAAGUAACCUUGCAGCUGAUCCAGUAAUGUCCUAGUAAAUCAAUGAAUCUAACUCAAACCAGGCUUAGAAGCAUGUGCACCAUUCAACUUUGAUGUCUCUCUUUUGAUUUCUGCCCAGGAUGGGUGAAGCGUGUUUCUCUUUUGUCUGGCAGUCGAGUCAUGGCAAUUGAACUUCUUUUCCUGUUGGUUUGAAAUGUUUUUGCUGCUUAUCCAAGUACCUUCUUCAGCCUGAGCAAGUUGGUUAGGGAAACUCCGUACUCACUGUGUCCUCCAGGGAGGUUUCAUUUCUCACCUAAUCUGGAUAGACUCCUUAGGUGAGUAGAUAGUCAUUGGGAUGUAAAUGUUCCAACUCCUAAAUCCUUUACCUAGGUGGGUUGUUAAGUUUGGCCUCCCUCACAUUCCCUGUCAAAAGUAGGAUUUUUCUACUUUGCUUUCUAUGAAGCUGAAUUUUCAGUUCUUCAUUGCUAUCAAGUUUCCAUGGAGCCAACAGGGAACACCUUGUUUGCUUUGAAUUGGGAGCUAUAGUGCUACAAAUCUGGGGGGGAGGGGAGAGAGAGAGAGAGAGAGAGAGAGAGAGAGAGAGAGAGAGAGAGAGAGAGAGAGAGA